rnacentral:lncRNA from 1 species
AAUUACUAUGGGAAAGAAGAAAAAGAAAUGCCUCUCUGGAUGGUGACUAUAACCUAUAGCCUUGCCCAAUAUGACUCAGGAUUUGGUACUGGCUGUGCCUUUCAUGGGAUGCUUACUUAUCCUGGUCGAUGGCCUAAAGCCCAACCGUCCAGCUUAUAUCCAGGGUCUCAAGCCACCCAGGCUGGAGUGCAGUGGCACAAUUAUGGCUCACUGUAGCCUCACCUUCCUGGGAUCAAGCAAUCUUCUUUCUUCAGCCUCCAGAGGAGCUGGGACCACAGAUCCUUUGGCAUUUGAGAGUUGCUUUGUGUAUACGGUCCUUUAACGGAGCAAAUGGCCAGCCAGGAAACCAAAGUAUGGACAAGGGGAAAGAAGCGUCUGUGGAGGAAGUUUUACAAGCGCCCUCCUCAUCCAUUUGGGUGGUGUUGCCCAUAUGCUACAUGUCUGUGGACCACUAUGUGUGUUUAAAGCUUUUUAGUAAAACGUUACUAAAAACUAUGACUCACUGUGGUGAAAAAGGUGGCAAAACAGUGACAACAGUGAGUUUGCUGCUGUUAUUAUCUAUGUGAGUGGUCACGAAAGCACAGGUAGCAGCUGAGGCAAGGGGAGGGAAGCUAGGAAAAGAAUCGCAGUGAGAAAGGGAUGAGAACUUCCAUGUCUGUGUUAAUGUCUGGUUUUAUGAUAAACUUGAAACUCAAGAGGCACAGUUGGAAAUUGUACCUUGCCACUUUGUGUGGCUGAGAGAGAGAAAGCUGUGCCAGCUGAAUGUGUGGACUGUCUUUGCCAGUGCAGGCUGGGAUGCAAAUACCUGUAAUUCUUGGGAAACAACCAGUGAGCCAGAUGAUGACAUAGAGUUUAACUCAGAGGAGGAAGAUCAUUAUCCUUCCCAUUUGAGAGUGAAACUGUUCAUGCAGUGGAAAGCAAAAUUCCAACACACAGAGGCCUGGGUAGGAUUACUGGAUAUAAUAAAAACUU